UCGUUUAUAAAAACCCACUACCUCCUCUCCUAUUCAUCAAAUUGCCGCCUCCAGAGGAUUUUCCCUCUUCUCUGCUCUUAACUUUCCCUUCUGUCAUUUCCUGAUUCAAUAGAAUUUUCGUAAGCCAAAUAUAGUUUUUUUCCCUUUAUGGCGUUGCAUCUGUUUAUCCUCUUCUCUUCUCAGCAAAAAUAUCAAAUGAUUUUGCUAAAGGAAGAUAAACAACAGAUGCAGAUAAUGAAAAAAAGGGGUAAGCUUACCAGCCCAUUGCAUUCUAUUUCUUUGCCUUGGUGUCAAAUGGACUUACCUACAAAUUUUCCUCUCUUUUUUUUAUAAAUUGUUAGGGUUUUUUGUGGGGUUUAUUGGAUGGAAAGGGAUGGAUACUUAACUUAUUCUACACUCUGAUUAAACAGUGUAUAUUCAAAAUUGCGCUUUUAUAUAUUCCGAUGCCAUUUUUUUGUUUAGUUUUAUUGUAGGGAUUUGAAAGUGAAGGCAAAUGAUGUUAAAAUUUAUUGCUUAUAUAUACUGAAACAUUAUAUGUAGAUUAAUAAACUCCGCUUAUUAUCUGAUGCCUUUGCUUAUAAUCAGUUUUUUUUCCAAUUUUUGGCUUGUUUUUUGAAUUAAUUGUGUAAUUCCCCCUUUUUUGUUUCAAAAUUUUCUAAAUUUUUUUAGGGUUUUUAUUUUUGGAGUUUAUUGGGUGGCAAGGGAUGAAUAUUAUCUUAUCCUACACUCUGAUUAAACCGUGUAGAUUUAAAAUUUUCGCUUAUUGAUAUUCUGAUGUCAUUUUUUUUGUUUUGGUUUUUCUAAAAAAAAUUGAAACCCAAAUUUUUUGAACUGAUUAUGAUUUUAAGGGCACUUGUUUUCAAUGAAGAGAAGAAGCAGACGUGUGGUUUGAAUUUGAUGCCAUUGAUGUCUGCAUUUUUCACUAUAUGUGAAUUUUCUCUGAUUUUUAAUUAAAUUUUUUACCUUUUUUUACUUUAUUUUACUAGUAACAUCAUAAUUUCAAUAUUACGUGUUUAUCUUAAGAAGUAAAAAAGGAUGAAAAUCGUAUGUUCGUGCAAACGCAGCAUCCAUCAUUGGUGCAAUGAGUGGCACUUUCCACACGAGAUUUCUGAUUUUAUUCUCUUCAAAAUUUAGUAUGUUUUUAAGACUAACUUAACUGAUUAUGUCGAAAAAAAAGUUUGGAAGAGCUUGGAAGUGCAUCCGGCUGGACAAGUUUUUUUGCUGAUAUGUCUGGAAAACUCGCCUAGCAGGAUGCCUUUUCAAGCUCUUUCUUCGAAACUGUUCAUUUCACUAAUUCUAAAAAAAUGGCCAAUUUGGUUAAUUAACUUUUAUUUUCGACAUAUUUUGAUAAUUUAGUCUUAUUUUAAUCUAAAAUUAUUAAAUAAUUGAGUGUUUUAUAACUUAUUUUGAAAUAUAUAAUUAAUUGAUUUAUUUACAUUUUAGAUUUUGUUUUUCAGAUGAGUUUUUAAAUUUUAUGAUUUUUUUUUAGAGAGUAUUUUCCUUCCUCAACCCCAACAUGAAUAUUGGCAUCUCUCUCGUGAGCUUGUUUGUCAUAUCCAUAUCAACUAUCAAUUGAAAUGCUUUCAAGUGUGAUAACAUCUUCCAUUAAGGAUUCGAGAUCAACCUUCCCUUUAACAGUAAUAUUUUAGAUUGUUAUGAUAUAAAUGUCUAGUGAGUACAGUUGUAUUAAAAUUAAAUGAUUAAAAUAUUAAUUAUAUAAGAAGCAUUGGAGGAAAUGUCGAGUUGGAUGAGUGAGGGGAUUCAUCAUAGUCAACCGUGCUUCAGAUACAAUGACCUUGCAACGACGGCAGACGAUGCUGCCAUGGAAAACGUUACGUUGAGAUUGUCUUCCAACUUUUUGCAGAGAGAAGUGAAUUGUGUGAUGGUUGUAGCUAUCAUAGCACAGAUUUACAAAGCUUUAAAAGCAGGAGACUUAAAGCCAUUAGAGGCCACCUGACAGCUUUUCAGCUUCCCUGCUUUAGGAAAAUGCAAUGAGAACCCUUUAUUGAUCUUAACACGUGGUGAUUUGUUAUCGACUGAGGAGAGGAGUGAUGGCAGGAUGAAGAUAUGCGAACAUCUCGGAACAUCUCGAAAUAUCGGAGACUAAUGGAGUUUACCGGAGACUAAUGGAGUUUACGACAUACUAUGGCUCAAUGAAUAUGGAUUCCCAGUAGAAGAAUCUGAUCCAGUUUCAGCCUAUGCCUUGACCAAAGCUGUAUACAGGGCACUUUUCAUCUCAGAUAGAAGCCACUUUCCAAAGAUGAAAUUCAAGGACUGGGCAAUACUGACAUUGAUAUGGCUAAUGCGCUUCAUUGGCUUAAAAAUCUUGAAAUCAAACAAAAAUAUAUUUCUCCUAGAAGAAUAGACUUCUAUAUUUGAAAGUAUAAUCUUUAAAAAUCUUAAACAUAUACAAUAGACCAAAGUUUUAGGUUAAAAUAUGAUAUUAGUUUUGUAUUUUUAUAGUAUUUUAGAUUUAAUUAUUUUACUUAGAAAGUUCAAAUUUUAAUUGUUUUAUCUUUUUAAUUUUUAUGUCCUAAUUUAGUUAGUUGAGUCUUAAUGUAGUAUUGAUAUUUUUAUUAAUUAGGAAGGAUUUGGGUUUGAUUAGUAUCGAUAUUAGUAGAAGAGAGAUUAUGAAUAA